UACAGAGGUCCCAAGCGUUGUUCGGAUUUACUGGGCGUAAAGGGUGCGUAGGUGGCGGGGUAAGUCUGGUGUGAAAUCUCCGAGCUCAACUCGGAAAAGCAUUGGAAACUAUCCCGCUAGAGGGUCGGAGGGGAGACUGGAAUUCUCGGUGUAGCAGUGAAAUGCGUAGAUAUCGAGAGGAACACCAGUGGCGAAGGCGGAUCUCUGGGCCGAUACUGACGCUGAGGAGCGAAAGCGUGGGGAGCGAACAGG
rnacentral:rRNA from 1 species